GUGUUCUAGAACUCCUAAAAACGGACCUGCCUUAGAAUCCUUGCCACUUCCAGCCCUUUGCCUAAGAUUAGCCUAUGGGAAGCAUGGCCUCUGUGUGAAUUGGUGGUGGAUUCAAAGCACAGCAUCUGGGGUCCUGUGUCAAUUACGCUCUCCUCAACAGAAGAUCUGAGUGGUGGUGCAUCUUCAUGGCUGCUGGCAGGCCCCG
rnacentral:lncRNA from 1 species